rnacentral:rRNA from 1 species
GACGAACGCUGGCGGCGUGCUUCAUACAUGCAAGUCGAACGAGAAGCUGCCGUUUGUCAGUGGUAAGUGGCUGACGGGUGAGUAAUAUGUAGGAAAUCUGCCUUUAGUAGGGGUACAACUGAGUGAAACUUCUGCUAAUACCCCAUAUGUGCGUAGCUGAGAUGCUCUUCUUGGAAUCUCCGGUGUCUAUAGAUGAGCCUGCAUCUGCUUAGCUAGUUGGUUUUGUAAUGGUCUAUCAUGUCCACGAUCAGUAGCUGGUGUGGGAGGAUGAUCAGACUCAAUGGGACGGAGAGCCCGCACUUACUCCUACGGGAGGCAGCAGUAGGGAAUUUUGCGCAAUGGGCGAAAGCCUGAGGAAGCACCGCCGCGUGAACGAUUACGCCCGGCGGGGUAUAGAGUUCUGUCAGUGGGGACGAAACGUGACGGUACCCACAGAGGAAGCACCGGCUAACUCCGUG